rnacentral:rRNA from 1 species
GACGAACGCUGGCGGCGUGCUUAACACAUGCAAGUCGAACGGAAAGACCCUGCUUUUGUGGGGUGCUCGAGUGGCGAACGGGUGAGUAACACGUGAGUAACCUGCCCUUGACUUUGGGAUAACUUCAGGAAACUGGGGCUAAUACCGGAUAGGAGCUCCUGCUGCAUGGUGGGGGUUGGAAAGUUUCGGCGGUUGGGGAUGGACUCGCGGCUUAUCAGCUUGUUGGUGGGGUAGUGGCUUACCAAGGCUUUGACGGGUAGCCGGCCUGAGAGGGUGACCGGCCACAUUAGGACUGAGAUACGGCCCAGACUCCUACGGGAGGCAGCAGUGGGGAAUAUUGCACAAUGGGCGGAAGCCUGAUGCAGCAACGCCGCGUGCGGGAUGACGGCCUUCGGGUUGUAAACCGCUUUCGCCUGUGACGAAGCGUGAGUGACGGUAAUGGGUAAAGAAGCACCGGCUAACUACGUG